rnacentral:tRNA from 1 species
CGGGACGUAGCGCAGAUGGCUAGCGCACUUGUAUGGGGUACAAGAGGUCAAGGGUUCAAAUCCCUUCGUCCCGA